AGCUUUGCACAGUGGCAGUAUCGUAGCCAAUGAGGUUUAUCCAAGGCGCGAUUAUUGCUAAUUGAAAACUUUUCCCAACACCCCGCCAUGACUUGAAAUGCAGUUGGCAUUGGCAAUUUCUGACAGUCUCUACGGAGA